rfam:Dipodomys ordii contig_3449, whole genome shotgun sequence.
GGGAAGGUGGCUCAGUGGUAGAGCGCUUGCCUUUCGUGCAUGAGGCCCUGGGUUCAAUUCCUCCGCACCA